rnacentral:rRNA from 1 species
GACGAACGCUGGCGGCGUGCUUAACACAUGCAAGUCGAACGGAAAGGCCCUUCGGGGUACUCGAGUGGCGAACGGGUGAGUAACACGUGGGUGAUCUGCCCUGCACUUUGGGAUAAGCCUGGGAAACUGGGUCUAAUACCGAAUAGGACCACGCGCUUCAUGGUGUGUGGUGGAAAGCUUUUGCGGUGUGGGAUGGGCCCGCGGCCUAUCAGCUUGUUGGUGGGGUAAUGGCCUACCAAGGCGACGACGGGUAGCCGGCCUGAGGGGGUGACCGGCCACAUUGGGAUGGAGAUACGGCCCAGACUCCUACGGGAGGCAGCGGGGGGGAAUAUUGAACAAGGGGCGGAAGCCUGAUGCAGCAACGCCGGGGGAGGGAUGACGGCCUUCGGGUUGUAAACCCUUUUAAACGGGGACGAAGCGAGAGUGACGGUACUGAGUAAAGAAGCCCCGGCUAACUACGUG